UACGGGGGGGGCAAGCGUUGUUCGGAAUUACUGGGCGUAAAGGGCUCGUAGGCGGCCAACUAAGUCAGACGUGAAAUCCCCAGGCUCAACUUGGGAACUGCGUCUGAUACUGGAUGGCUUGAAUUCGGGAGAGGGAUGCAGAAUUCCAGGUGUAGCGGUGAAAUGCGUAGAUAUCUGGAGGAAUACCGGUGGCGAAGGCGGCAUCUGGACCGAGAGUGACACUGAUGAGCGAAAGCCAGGGGAGCAAACGGG
rnacentral:rRNA from 1 species